AUACAGAUAAGGAGCUGAGAAACCUCUUUGAAAAACUGGAGACAGAAACAUGUGAGACAGUAGACAUCACAAACAGUUUUGACAUUACAGACGUGCAUCAACAACGUGAUGCUGCUGAAUGCCUGGAAAUGAUUUUACACAAAGUCAGCCCACAGGCCUCCCAGGUUUUCAAAGGACAGCUGAAAUACUCGACAACAUGCU